rnacentral:rRNA from 1 species
CCUACGGGUGGCAGCAGUGAGGAAUAUUGGUCAAUGGGCGCGAGCCUGAACCAGCCAAGUCGCGUGAGGGAAGACUGCCCUAUGGAUUGUAAACCUCUUUUGUCUGGGAGCAAAGUACGCUACGCGUAGCGUUCCGAUGGUACCUUAAGAAAAAGCAUCGGCUAACUCCGUGCCAGCCGCCGCGGUAAUACGGAGGAUGCGAGCGUUAUCCGGUUUUAUUGGGUUUAAGGGGUGCGCAGGCGGCCUGUUAAGUCAGCGGGAAAAGCCCGGGGCUAAACCCCGGACAGCCGUUGAAACUGGCGGGCUGGAGUUGGAGAGAAGUAGGCGGAAUGCGCGGUGUAGCGGUGAAAUGCUUAGAUAUCGCGAAGAACCCCGAUUGCGAAGGCAGCGUACCGGCUCCAAACUGACGCUGAGGCACGAAAGCGUGGGUAUCGAACAGGAUUAGAUACCCGAGUAGUC